rnacentral:sRNA from 1 species
AAUGCGUCAUAGCGCGCGUCUGUUUGGAUGUGGAAGCCGAGACCUAAAGUUGGGGGGUGAUCUCUGAGGUGAUGGAUCGGUACCUGCUGCUGGUGAUCUGGGGGGAAGGAAAAUUCCCGUCGGCGGCCAGUAGGGAGGCAGAACAUGGGCCAGAGGUGUCGUUGGGUGAGGGUACUGAGAAUCAGCCGGACUUCACAGCAGCAAAUGUUUAUCACCUCUUGAAAAGAAGCAUUAGUGCUUCAAUUAAUCCAGAAGAUAGUACUUUCCCUGCCUGUUCAGUGGGAGGUAUACCUGGUUCCAAGAAGUGGUUCUUUGCAGUGCAGGCAAUAUAUGGAUUUUAUCAGGUAAUAUAAAUUUAAAAAUAGCUACUAAUGAAUGUCUUUACUAAUAUAAAUAAUUUCAUGAUCCAUUAUUUAAUACAAUCUUUUGAUUUGUUAGUUUUGUAGUUCUGAUUGGCAAGAGAUACAUUUUGAUACAGAAAAAGAUAAAAUUGAAGAUGUUCUUCAAACGAAUAUCGAAGAAUGUUUGGGUGCUGUUGAGUGUUUUGAAGAAGAAGACAGUAAUAGCAGGGAAUCAUUAUCCUUGGCUGAGUAUGCUUACAUG